GACACAUGUUAGUUAUAUAUUUAAAAAUAUAAUGUGUUAAACUAUCUCAUAAUUAAAAAUAUAUAUAUUAAAAUAAUAAAAACAAGAGUAAUUGGUGGCAGUGCACCUAAACCCACUUCUAAUUGGCAUCAUACACUCUACUUCAGAAGCCACAAUCUCUGACUUUUUUACCCGUAAUAGUUGUCCCCCUAUGGCUCAGAUCCUCUGUGUUUUGUGUCAGUGGACUCAUCCUUUACACAUCGGUCAAUGAAAGGUCUCUGUCUUUCUCCAAAAGCAUACGAAACAGUGAGAGUUUUGUAUCUUUGUUCCAAUUUUAAGCAUCAAAAAGUUGCAAUUCAAAUUUCUCUAAUCACUCUAUUUUGUUCUUCUUUCUCAUUUGUUCUUUAAGCCUUCGGUUGUUGUUCCACCAUUCUUAUCUUAAAAAAAACUCCAGAAUCCAAAUUACAAUAUUGAGACUCUACAAUCUUCACCAAAAUCCCUAAAAUCCCGAUAAUGACCUAGUCCUUUCAUAAAAUAUGUAAGCGGUUGUAGAGAAAUUCACCGACUGUUUUGAAGGAGGAGAAGAAGAAAAGAAAACAUAGACGGUGGUGUCAAAGAUCAUAGAUGAUGAGUAUCAUCAUAGGAGGAAUGGAACCUCCACCGCUGGGUUAAGAUGAAGUUCAUGUCUUGGUCGUCGAUGACAGCAUCGCUGAUCAGAUUGUCACCGAGAGAUAAUGUUAAGGCCGGAAAGUUUUGGUGAUAAUAUGAUUGUUACGGUUUCAAUUAGCCUGAUCAUUUUAUUAUUUAGCAUAACCAUAUCUUGUUUACUCGUUAGAUACCAUUUUAUCAGAUAAUAAUGGUAUUAACGUUGCAGCUAGUCUAUUAUCUAAUAAUAUUAAUAAUUUCUUGUUAUAUUAUUAUGAAAAUUUGAAGAAGUCAGUUGACCACUAGCGUUAUGUUUUUUCUCUAACAUACAUCUAAGCAUGUUAACCGUUAAUUCAAAGUGAUGAGUGAAGGUAUGAACAUAUUUGUUAAGUUUUUAUUAAAACUCUGAAUGAGUAGUAGAGCUUCUCGUCUAUGUAUGAGUUAUGGUGAUGUGAAGGCAUGAAGAUUAACCUAUCUGAUAAUAUGACUGUUAGAAUUGCAUUUAGCUGUUCAUUUCAUUAUUUAGCGUUACCAUAAUUCGUUUACUCGUUAAUAUAUUAUCAGAUAAUAAUAGCAGUAGCAGUGUAGUUAGUCUGUUAACGAAUAAUAUUGAUAUUUUCUCUUUAAACUAUUGUCAAAAUAUGAUCACAACGAAGUAUAUUUUGGAUGCUCACAUAGAUGGAUGUGAAUAAUAGCAGAUAAUAAUAGCAGUAGCAGUGUAGUUAGUCUUUUGUUUUAUGUCGCCAUUUGAAAUAAAUGUUUUGUUAGAUGUUACUUCAAUUUUAUGUUGCUAUUUGAGAUAAUGUGAGGUAAGAUGUUUCUAAAUAGAUGUCGUACGUAGAUAUAUGGUUGGUUAGAUGAUACAUGGCUUUUUAGUUGUUACAUUGUACUUGAUACAAAUUUUUUAGCUGAUACAUUUUUCGUUGUAGAUACCUAGUAGUUUAUUUCUCUAUUUAUUACCCGAUACAUUUUUUGUUAUUCGAUACAUGUUUUGUUAGCUGUUAUUGAUUCUUUUAAUAUGCUAUUCAUAAUUAUGAUCAUUAGCAAAACAUGUAGAAUUAUUUGUUAGCUAAUACAUAGUUUGUAACUUUGUAUUUUUUUGGUAUAUUAUCUACUAGAUGAUAUAUGACUUGUUAUCAGAUAAAAGUUUGCGGAGGUUGAUACAUUGUUUAAUACAAAAGAAUAAAUAUUCACUAUAUGUAGUAUAUCUUUUCAUCUAAGUAUAAUAACAUCUCUCUCUAAACGCUCCAACUUCUCUCUAGAAACACAAAAGAAAUUGAAACUGCUUUCGGUGGCCGGUGAGCAAUUUGCCACCGGUCGCCACCCCCUUCUUUUGUUUUUUUCUCGUGUAUCAUAUAUUAUAACUACUUUUCUCGAUCUAUGAGAUCGAUUUCUUUGUUCGCUAUGGCGAUGUUCCCUUCGCGUAGGCGAGUUUUGGUGUGUUCAAUCUUAACUGGAGCAAAGCUUCAAGGAUGGUUUUCUUUGUUCUCCAGUGAAGAUUGAUUAUAAUAUACUAAAGGCUCCUCUUUCGCAGUUUAUCCAGAUCCCGUUUGCUUAAGUUGGGUCUCCUCUUUCCUCUCAGAUUUGCACUUAUUCCUUCUUAAAAGGAAUCAAUCUCUGCCCAUUUGAUGUGGAGUCGUUAUAUCGACUUUAUGGUAGAGUCUCCUCGACAGAAUGGAAGAGGUGAUGUUGGAGUAAUAUUGGUUGAAUCUAAUGGAGAUUUAGAUGAAUUGGCACCUUCUCUAUAUUGAAAGUGGUCCAAUAAAAAUCUUCUAUUGGGUCAUCCAAAUCUUCCCUGAGUUAUUAUCUGAAGUCUGAUGGAGAUUUGUACUCAAGUGACGGUUUAGGCGAAGAAUGGAGAUUGAGGAGUUCAUAACCGUGCUCGGCGGCGACACCUCUUCAGAUCGAGUUUGCCGACGGAGCUGCUUCAGAGAGCUUCUCUCUCCAUGCGGCACUGCGUUUUAGACAUGUGUCAUCUCAAUUUGUGGUGUGGCUUCAUGCAUAUCAAGAUGAAGACGCGUGGCAGAACUUUUCUUCUUAGCAGACGCGUGGAAUUGGAGUGGCAAGUCUACGAACUCAAGAGGAUCUGAUGGGAUUAAAGUGGACCGGACUGUAUUGAUUUAUUGCUUUUGAGUAUGUAUUUUAUAACUGAGCCUUAUGAACUUCUCAUAUAAAAUGCCCAUAGGGCUUCUCUAAUAAAAAGAGAAUGUUGACAAAAAAAAAAAAAAA